rnacentral:ncRNA from 1 species
GACCAGGGGACUCCAUCUGCUUUAAUUAAAACAAAGCAUCGCGAAGGCCCGAGGUGGGUGUUGUGAUUUCUGCCCAGUGCUCUGAAUGUCAAAGUGAAGAAAUUCAAUGAAGCGCGGGUAAACUGCGGGAGGAACAAUGACUCUCUUAAGGAGUGCUUAGCCUUAGUAAGGGAGAUAAUGAGCUAUCCC